rnacentral:rRNA from 1 species
UGAGGAAUAUUGGUCAAUGGGCGCAAGCCUGAACCAGCCAUCCCGCGUGCAGGAAGACGGCCCUAUGGGUUGUAAACUGCUUUUCCAGGGAGAGAAACCUGCGCACGUGUUUCGCAAUUGACGGUACCCUGGGAAUAAGCAUCGGCUAACUCCGUGCCAUCAGCCGCGGUAAUACGGAGGAUGCAAGCGUUCUCCGGAUUCAUUGGGUUUAAAGGGUGCGUAGGCGGACUAUUAAGUCAGUGGUGAAAGCCUGCAGCUUAACUGCAGAACUGCCAUUGAUACUGAUAGUCUUGAGUUUGGUUAAGGUAGGCGGAAGGUGUAAUGUAGCGGUGAAAUGCUUAGAUAUUACACAGAACACCAAUUGCGGAGGCAGCUUACUGAGCCGACACUGACGCUGAGGCACGAAAGCGUGGGGAUCGAACAG